AACCAACACAAAUACUGUUUAUUUGUGAGAUGCCAUUUUACAUCAACACCAGCAAACGACCUAAAAAUCAACCAGAUGAACUCAUGUUAGGUGGCGUUAACAGUAUUUCCGUUAGGUUGUGAAUCACAGGAGUUUAGCACACCUUAUUUAUGUAAUAUCCAAAUAACUAAGACAUAAAGCAUUCACAGUUACAGGUUAACUGCUGUUCCCGCAUCAGCAGUGUCAGUAGGUACUAUUUUGUGACAACACACGUACACACACACACACACAGAGUGGGGGAAAUCCUUAAAAACGAAACCAAACCGAAAAAAAAUUCAAGCCAAGUUUUGGUCUCAAUUACAGACAACAAACUAGUUGGUGGAUAGAUUUUAUACACUUUUACAGUAGUAUGAAAGGACAGAAUAUAAGGUCUAGAAAGAGGUAUUUUAGCAGUUAUAGAGGGCACAAGCUAACCUUUAAAGCUGUGUGUAUGAAUUCCAAGAGUAUUAAACAAUUUGUUAGACUUGUGACCAAGGAUCAACAGAAAUCUGGGAAAACCUUACCACAACUGAAGUCCAUUUCUUGCCCUCCAAAAAUGUAACUUGGGAACAUUAAUCAAGUAGCAAUGAGCUGUACCUACCUUUGAUUGUGUGAGCAUAUUUGUGAUGAAAUAAAAUGCAUGUAUUUGUGGUAAGACGGAAGAUGUCUCCAAUCCUCUAUUAAUGUUAGAAAAGGCUACACAAAGGUAACCUAAGUAUUUAUUGUAGCUUAAAGACAACCUUGAACCGAAAACUCAAGCACAUAAAGGAUUCUAACAAAUUCCAUCCUCAUCAGCUUGCUUUCCUUGAAAAGGAUAACGAACGAAAACCAACACUAAUACUGAAUAAUAUUUUAAAUACUUAACAUUAUUAGAAUGAAAUUGAAUUUGUGGAAUGUUUCAGUUACUAAUAUUCACAGAAUCAUUUAGGUUGGAAAAGACCUUUAGGACCAUCAAGUCCGAAGAGCUUCAAAUGUUUGUCAUCUAUCACCUUAAGAGUGUCUGCUACUAUAGUCUCUGAAUGCUGUUUUCCUUUCACUAGCUGGCUUUCCACUUGUAUCUCCCAAACACCAAGUGUGAAUUGAACAGAGAUUAUCAAGUUUCUGCUAUAAGGAUAGUAGUAGUACACCAGAGAGAUUAGCGCAAGACCCAUGACACUUCUUCCAGAAUGACCUCCAAGUGUCUUGUCCAAGAAGUCGGCAUAUUCUGCAUAUUACUUUCUCAGAGGAAAAAAAAACCCAAGCAAAACCCUGUAUCAACUAUAUCAUGGCAUAACAAACCAAUAGCAGACACCAAAUUUACACUAAGUACAAGGUAAACUGAGUAGCUUAGUUAAAUUUCCACAAUUAUUUAAAAAUGAGAGGGAAUUUCUUCAAAAUACAAGAACUGGCAAUGUUAGGUUUCUCUGCUUAUCGGUAUAUCUAGCAAAACCAGAAGGAUGGAUAGCACAGGAAAGUUUAUCAAGCCAUACGGGUCCAUUUUAGUCCAUUUGUUCCCUAUAAACAUCAGUAAAGCCAUCUACUAGCUGCAGCUGAAUUUGUGGCUGACUUUAUGAAGAUGCAUGUUUAUAAACCAGCUGAAGAUUACGGAUUCACCCUGUUUGCAAGUGGAAGAAAAAAAAUUUGCAGCAUCUACCUGAUUCAUUUCCAAACACAUUCCUUCUUUCCAUUACUUACGAUUACUUUUACACAAAGAAAAACAUCAGUUUGUUCACUUAUAUAGCAUGAGUACUUUCUGAGGUUUCCUCUCCUAUUUCAUUUGCUCUUACUUACAUUUUGUAUUCUGCUAAACGUCAGCAAAACUUGGAAAAAGAGCACCUGAUUAAACUGAACAGAUUUCUGUUGACCCUCUUAGAUGAAAGUUAGACCUAUAACAGUAAUAGAUUAGAAGUGUCUUUGGCUCUUGCUUCCAUUAUUGGAAGCCAAAUUGUGUGACAUACAAAACCUUUUACGCACAUCUUGUAUUUGUUGCAGGAUUCACGCCAAUUUGUUCUAAACUGUUUUCUAGAGUCAGUAACUAGCUUAACACUUAGGAACAAUUACAGUAUUUCACUUAAAAUCUUAGCAAUCACAAUUUAGCCUAAUGUUAAAAGUUAUAUUGCUUCUAAGUUCAUUCUUCUCAGAACUAAACCAGCAGCUCCACUGAUUAUUUCCUUAUGGUUAUACUAUGGUAAUAUACACAUUUACAUCAGAAGUCUUAAUAAAACAUGUGUUUUUUAGUAAGAGGCAUAUUGUAAACAUUAAAUACCACACUCCACUGAAUUAAUUUCUUGUGCAAACUGGCAUCAAACAUAGAAUUAAGGUUAUGCGUAUUAGUACAUAAGAAAGCAAUGACUAUAUAUGUUUUACUACUACUAACUUCAAAGAGCACUAUUUAGUGUCAUAGAAAUCCAAACAUGACUAUUUCACAGGGAAAGGUAGUAUCUUCUUCUCAGCAUCAUGGAAUUCUAGGGUUUAGUAUAUGCAUAUAUAUUGUCUAUUUAUGUAUAUACAAAUAUACACAAACACACACAAACAAUUUUUGUCUUUGGCAGCUGAGUUUGACAAACAAAAACGAACAACAGCAAACAGAUUUGAACACAACUGACCACCUGUAGCACCACAAUUACAACCUCCUGGGCCAGGGUAGCAAACUAAUGUUUAAGCACCAUGUUUAGCUUUUGCUAAACUAGGCUUAAUCUUGAAAGUAGUCAAGUUAAGGACAGCUGUUCCUGACUUCAGUGAUGGCAGAACAGGACCUUCAAUACAGCUGAAAAUUUCACAGUCAACCUAAAACACUUUUCCCCCC
rnacentral:lncRNA from 1 species